rnacentral:rRNA from 1 species
GACGAACGCUGGCGGCGUGCCUAAUACAUGCAAGUAGAACGCUGAAGGAGGAGCUUGCUUCUCUGGAUGAGUUGCGAACGGGUGAGUAACGCGUAGGUAACCUGCCUGGUAGCGGGGGAUAACUAUUGGAAACGAUAGCUAAUACCGCAUAAUAGUAGAUGUUGCAUGACAUUUGCUUAAAAGGUGCAAUUGCAUCACUACCAGAUGGACCUGCGUUGUAUUAGCUAGUUGGUGGGGUAACGGCUCACCAAGGCGACGAUACAUAGCCGACCUGAGAGGGUGAUCGGCCACCCUGGGACUGAGACACGGCCCAGACUCCUACGGGAGGCAGCAGUAGGGAAUCUUCGGCAAUGGACGGAAGUCUGACCGAGCAACGCCGCGUGAGUGAAGAAGGUUUUCGGAUCGUAAAGCUCUGUUGUAAGAGAAGAACGAGUGUGAGAGUGGAAAGUUCACACUGUGACGGUAUCUUACCAGAAAGGGACGGCUAACUACGUG